AUACAGAAGAGAAAGGUUGUCAUUAUAUUAAAAGUGACAAAAAAAAAGAUUUUGUGCUUAAUAAGAACAGUAGUGAUGAAAAUAGUGAGUUUAAAAAUAUAAUGAACCAUGUUAAUAAAACAUUUGAUUAUUAUUGUAAUGAAGCUUUAAAUAAAUAUGUUGAUAACGCAACUGAAUUUAUAAAUAUAAAUAACAAGAUAGACCAAUGUAAUAAUAUAUAUACUAAUGUUAAUAGUAUAUUAAAUGAGCAUUUAAGUGAAGUAAAAAUCAUUACUAGUGAUAUAAGUUCUAUUCAAAAAUUAAGUGAAAAUAUGGAUCAUAAAUUAAAUAAUAGAAAGAUAACAUUAGAGUUAUUAAACACUUAUAUUAAAAUUAUACUAGUAACACCCCAACUAGUUCGUGAUAUAUGUAAUAAAGAAAUUAAUGAAGAUUAUAUAAAAAAUGUAAACAUAUUAAUGAAAAAAAUAGAGAAUUGUAAACAUUGUUUAUAUGAUUCCUAUCGUAGUAUUAAAUCUUCUUAUAUAGAAUUAGAGAAAUUAAAAUAUAAAGCUAUUGAUAGAAUUUAUUUUUUUUUUUUAAACAAAUUUAAUGACAUAAGAAGUAAAAAAAUCAAUAUUCAUUUAACACAACAGAAAUUAAUAAAAUUUUAUGAACUAAAUACGUUUCUUUAUUAUAAUAAUAAAAAAGUAUAUACUUAUUUAAUGAAAGAAUAUGCUAUUAUUAUGAACAGGUCAUAUUAUAAUUUAUUUAAAAAUUAUAUAAACAGUUUAGAAAAUAAAAAAGUUCAAUUUGAUGAUGAAAUAACAAUAGGUUUUUUUGGUACUACUGUAGGUGGAAAUGAUUUUAACAGUGGUACUACAAGUGGUAAUACUUUUAAUGCUUGCUCUAGUAACUAUAACGUAUGUGGUAUAAAUGAUACUGUGCGUAAUAGUUAUGAUAAUAAUAAUAAUAAUAAUAAUAGUGUCGGUGUCGAUGGUGCUGUCGGUGUCGGUGAUGGUGUCGGUGUCGGUGGUAGUGUCGGAAAUAAUAACUUUGCGUCUGGAGAUAGUAAUUACAGCAACUACAAUAUCAACACGGCUAACCUUAAUCACGCGAAUUUAAGUCUAUUGUUAGCUAAAAACAAAAUGAUGACUAUUCUUGGAUUUAAUACUAAUAAGGGUGAUAUUACCAUAAAUAAGAAAAAAGAAAAUAUAUUUUUAUUAAAUGAUCGAAUUAAAAUUUUACGUGAUUUAGAUUUCUAUUCUAAGCUGAACGGUUCAGGUUUAGAAAAGGUUGACAAUUGCUCAGCUACUUUACCAUUAAUUUUUUCAACAAAUGACAAUUCUUUAUACUUUUUUGAAGAAAUAUAUAAAUCAAUUAACAAGUUAUUUUUAGAUACAGGGACUAGUGAAUAUUUAUUUAUAUUAAAAUUUUUUAAAAAUUAUGAAUAUCAUGAAUUUUUAUUU
rnacentral:lncRNA from 1 species